UCUGGGAGUUUUGCUCCCCGAAUUGUAGUCUAAAGAAGCGAUCCCUGCAGCAGAUCGGGCCCAAGUUCCUUGGAACGGGACGUCUGAGAGGGUGAAAGCCCCGUCGACCCCGAAGCCUGCCGCACCACGGGGCGCUGUCGCAGAGUCGGGUUGUUUGAGAAUGCAGCCCAAAUUCGGUGGUAAAUUCCAUCGAAGGCUAAAUACCGGCGAGAGUCCAAUAGCAAAAAAGUACCGCGAGGGAAAGAUGAAAAGUACUCUGAAAAGAGAGUGAAAUAGCGCUUGAAAUCGAUGUGAGGGAACCGAACGAGCGGAUCGCUAGGUCGUCGGCGUCGUACCCGGAACGGUCGCCCGGUCCGGUGAGCGGCGCCCGGCGCAAAACAGCGUGCGCUCGUUGCGUCCAGCGGCUGCGUCUCAAGCGAGGCACUGCCGCGACGCGGCGAGCGAUUUGACGAGGCCCGCGCAAUAGCGGAUAUCCACUGCGGCCUCGCAGCGCUGUCGUGACCAACUCGUUCGACCCGUCUUGAAACACGGACCAAGGAGUCUAACACGCAUGCGAGUCCAAGGGCGGAAAACCCCGGGGCGCAAGGAAAUUGAGACGUGGGAUCCGAAGAGGUGCACCACGCGCCGACCCGGAGUUAAGACGAAGGGUUUGAGCGAGAGCAUGUAUGUUGGGACCCGAAAGAUGGUGAACUAUGCCUGAGCAGGGCGAAGCCAGAGGAAACUCUGGUGGAAGAUCGCAGCGAUACUGACGUGCAAAUCGUUCGUCGGACUUGGGUAUAGGGGCGAAAGACUAAUCGAACCAUCUAGUAGCUGGUUCCCUCCGAAGUUUCCCCCAGGAUAGCCGGAGCCCAAACAAGUUCUAGCAGGUAAAGCAAAUGAUCAGAGGUCUCGGGAGUGAAACACUCUCGACCUAUUCUCAACUUUAAAUGGUUAGGAUGCCGCCGUUGCCCAAGCGAACGGCGACGACAAAUUGGGGCUCCGAGUGGGCCAUUUUUGGUAAGCAGAACUGGCGAUGCGGGAUGAACCGAAAGUCGGGAUAAGGUGCCCAACUCCGCGCUAACCUAGACUACACAAAGGGUGUUGAUUGAUUAAGACAGCAGGACGGUGGUUCAUGGAAGUCGAAAUCCGCUAAGGAAUGUGUAACAACUCACCUGCCGAAUCAACUAGCCCCGAAAAUGGAUGGCGCUGAAGCGCGGGACCUAUACCCGGCCGAGGCGGCGUGCGAACGCCGGCUUGAGUAGGAGGGCGUGGGGGCGGCGUUGCACUCCGGCGAGUGAUCCCGGGAGAAGCCGCCUCCAGUGCAGAUCUUGGUGGCAGUAGCAAAUAUUCAAAUGAAACCUUUGAAGACUGAAGUGGAGAAGGGCUCCAUGUGAACAGCAUUUGGACAUGGGUUAGUCGAUUCUAAGGCACCACCCAAACGGGAAGCAAAGGCGCAACUCGCGCCGUGCGCCGAAAGAGAAGCGGGUUAAUAUUCUCGCACCGGGACGUGGCAGCUCCGCGGCAACGCAACGGAAUCCAGAGACGCAGGCCGGCGCUCCAGGAAGAGUUUUCUUUUCUUUUUAACAGUUGAAGCGCCCUGGAAUUGAUUCGCUCGGCGAGAGGGUGCUGAAAGCUGGCAGAGCGCCGCACUGGUUGCGGUGUCUGGUGCACCCCGGCUUGCCCUAGAAAAUCUGGAGGCUCGAAUUGUUGCUCACGCCCGAUCGUACCCAUAACCGCAUCAGGUCUCCAAGGUGAGAAGCCUCUAGUGAACGGAUGAAUGUAGGUAAGGGAAGUCGGCAAAAUGGAUCCGUAACUUCGGAACAAGGAUUGGCUCUGAGGACUGAGCACGGGAAUCUGGCUCACGAUGCGGCAAGCGGCCGACGGCCUGCCAAAGCUGUUUCUACGGCGAUGGCGGGUCUUGGCGGCGAACCGCGGAGAGGACCAGAGCGCUUCGGCGGUGUCUCGUGCGCUCGACAGUCGGCUCAGAAUCUGGAACGGACAAGGGGAAUCCGACUG
rnacentral:rRNA from 1 species